GACGGUCUCCACAAUCAGGGCAAUUCAUCGUGAAGAGCGUGUUUAAUCAGUAAUAAUUAAUAUGAAGAGCGUGUUCAUCGUGAAGAGCGUGUUCAAUCAGGGCAAUUGACACAUACACGACAUAUCAAAGUGAAGAGUACAUAAUAUGUUUCUUCAGUACAACCGAUAAUCCCCAAGUAACUCUCUCUGUUGAUUUUGAAUGGAAAACUGCUGUUAAGGCCUUGGGUCGUCCCAACAUUGCAAAGAGAAACCAAAUUGAUAAAAUGGCAUUUGAGGUAUACAUUAUGCAUGAAAAAGCCUUGUCCAUCAAGGAAGAGAUGUCUUAUCUUCCUCAACGAAAUGUAGAAAUGUUUAGAGCUCAACUGGAUAACUGACAACAGAAUGUUCUUGUGGAUUUUUGUUUCACUGUUUGUCACCUUCUCAGUAGCAGGAUUACAACUAUGGCACUUGAAGACAUUUUUUCAGAAAAAGAAAUUAAUAUAAUUUUUCUUUGUUAUUUGAUGACUAUACACCUUAAUUUUCUGAUGUGCUUAGUAAACUUUACAUUAAAGGUGUCGUGUCGAUUUAUAGGACAAGCAUAAUGAAAUAUCUAAAUUAAUUGUAUCAAAUAACACCUUAUA